rnacentral:misc_RNA from 1 species
GCGAGCUGUCAGCACAAUGUCGGCGGAGAUGGCCUCGCCCGUCUUCGCGUUCGUGACACGUCCGAACACCUUGAUCGUGUUGGGU